GUUCAGGGUCCAGCUGACAACUGUGUUCUUUGUUGUCAUAGGCUCUGGAAGAGGAAGGACUGGCAGAUUUCCAGAUCGGGUGUCCCGAAUUUCCAAACUUUCCAGAAAUUGUGGAUGAGGGAAGAAGGGAGCUUCCGUAAAUGCAGAAGCAGAAUCGGCAUUAUUACAUGGACAAUUCCAGAAGACCCAUAUUCAUCCUGGGGUAUGGAACUCUGCCUGCAGCUUCCCAGUCCUUCAAACCUUCCUGCCUCAGGUGAGUGUCCUCAAGUCACAGAUGAGGCAGCAGAGGCUUCACCAGAUAAGGUAUUUUCACUAGGUCCUGUGGCUGGUGAGGAUGGGGGUCAGACCUGCUGGUGAAGAGGACAAGGAGAGGAGCCCUGGAUGCAGGAAGGGGCCCUCCCAUUCCCUGGCAGAGCCUACUCUGAGAACUUGGGUCUGUAAGCUCCACAAAUGAAGGGGAAAGGGAGGUUUUGUUAAUAGGAGAGGAGACUGGGUGUGGGUGGCUUCCUGAUGUCCUUUCUUGGGAAAUGGGGACAAGAAUCUUUUGAUGCUGAUUACCUUUGAAAGAAGUAGAUUUCAGUUGGCAUUUUGGGAAUGACUAAAGAAACAUCACCAUGACCAGGGUUGUCAUUUCGCCCAGCAUGGAUAUGAGAUGGUUUGCAGUCUCCUUCCUGGAAAUGUAGACUCACCGGAGAGUCAGUGUGCACCAGGGGAGAUCAGGGAGGGACUGGAGACUUCUAGUUCCCUGUGAAGUCUAACCAAGACUAAAAAUGGUUCUGGUAGAGAAUGGGCUUCUGUGAGUCAAGUUUAUCAUGGGACUGGCACAGGGAGCAACAGCAGAGCUCUUCACCACGCCCUGGUGGUGGGCACAGGAAGUGGGGGCAGAAGCAGGGUAGGUGGCUACUUCAUAGACUGGUUCCAUGGCACAUGGGCCCCUUUGCAGUUGCUAGAAAAACACAGUAUGAACACGCCCAUCCCAAGGUGAAAUGCCAGUCAGGCAGCCCCACAUUCAAAGCUCAGCUCCAUCACGGAACAGCCAGGACAGCUAAUUGACCUUCUUGUUUUGCUCAUCUGUAAAAUGGGGGUGGAAGUCACUGUCUUCCUUUCAGUGUUACUGCAAACAUGAAAAGGGACAAAAUCUGUUUGUGCAGCCCAGUGCCCAUCUCAUGGUGAGUACAGGAUCCAUGGAAGACUGGGAAAAAGAGUGUCGCUUGUACAUAGUAUAGUCACAUGUCACUUCACAAAGGGGAUGUCUAGAGAAAUAUGUUAUUAUUUGAUUUCAUCAUGCAAGCAUUCUAGAAUGUACUUACACAAGCCUAGGUGAUGAGUGGGUGUGUCCAUCACUGUACAUGGCCUCUUGAUACAAGGAAGAGACCAGGUACACCUGAGCUGGAUGAAGCUGCUGCUGAUGUACCACAGGUACAGUAAACUUUUUUUCCUAAAUAGAAUGGGCACACUCUAAAAUAACAAUAAAAGAUACAGUAAAUAUGUAGAAAAGUCACAUGGUCAUUUGUUACCCUCAUCAAGUAUGUUCGAAUAUGCUCUACUUUUAAAUGACCAGCAGGGAUGUAGAUCUGUUUACACCAGCACAGAAGGAAC
rnacentral:lncRNA from 1 species